rnacentral:rRNA from 1 species
AGAGUUUGAUCCUGGCUCAGGAUGAACGCUGGCGGCGUGCCUAACACAUGCAAGUCGAGCGAUCUUCUUCGGAAGAGAGCGGCGGACGGGUGAGUAACGCGUGGGUAACCUGCCUCAUACACAUGGAUAACAUACCGAAAGGUAUGCUAAUACAAGAUGAUAUAAGAGAUUCGCAUGGAUUUCUUAUCAAAGCUCCGGCGGUAUGAGAUGGACCCGCGUCUGAUUAGCUAGUUGGUAAGGUAACGGCUUACCAAGGCGACGAUCAGUAGCCGACCUGAGAGGGUGAUCGGCCACAUUGGAACUGAGACACGGUCCAAACUCCUACGGGAGGCAGCAGUGGGGAAUAUUGCACAAUGGGCGAAAGCCUGAUGCAGCAACGCCGCGUGAGCGAUGAAGGCCCUCGGGUCGUAAAGCUCUGUCCUCAAGGAAGAUAAUGACGGUACUUGAGGAGGAAGCCCCGGCUAACUACGUGCCAGCAGCCGCGGUAAUACGUAGGGGGCUAGCGUUAUCCGGAUUUACUGGGCGUAAAGGGUGCGUAGGUGGUUUCUUAAGUCAGGAGUGAAAGGCUACGGUUCAACCGUAGUAAGCUCUUGAAACUGGGAAACUUGAGUGCAGGAGAGGAAAGUGGAAUUCCUAGUGUAGCGGUGAAAUGCGUAGAUAUUAGGAGGAACACCAGUAGCGAAGGCGGCUUUCUGGACUGUAACUGACACUGAGGCACGAAAGCGUGGGGAGCAAACAGGAUUAGAUACCCUGGUAGUCCACGCCGUAAACGAUGAGUACUAGGUGUCGGGGGUUACCCCCCUCGGUGCCGCAGCUAACGCAUUAAGUACUCCGCCUGGGGAGUACGCUCGCAAGAGUGAAACUCAAAGGAAUUGACGG